CCUACGGGAGGCAGCAGUGAGGAAUAUUGGUCAAUGGGCGCGAGCCUGAACCAGCCAAGUCGCGUGAGGGAAGACGGUUCUAUGGAUUGUAAACUUCUUUUGUAGGGGAGCAAAAGUCGCCACGCGUGGCGUUCUGAGAGUAGCCGAAGAAAAAGCAUCGGCUAACGCCGUGCCAGCAGCCGCGGUAAUACUGAGGAUGCGAGCGUUAUCCGGAUUUAUUGGGUUUAAAGGGUGCGUAGGUGGGAAAUCAAGUUAGCGGUGAAAAUGGAGGGGUUAACCCUUAGCGGGCCGUUGAAACUGGUUUUCUUGAGUGAGUGAGAGGUAUGCGGAAUGCGUGGUGUAGCGGUGAAAUGCAUAGAUAUCACGCAGAACUCCGAUUGCGAAGGCAGCAUACUGGC
rnacentral:rRNA from 1 species